rnacentral:lncRNA from 1 species
ACCAACCAUGUUUAAUUUAAUGCAUUAUUUUUAGUAUUUUUAAUUGAAUAAAUGUCAAAUAAUUAUGUUGUGCCAUUUUGAUUGAUUUGUGUAUGUUUGACUUGUGUUGUUGGACCUUGGUCAAAGUUGAUUUGACUUUGUUAUAUUAAGAUCACUGGAUUUAGGGGAUUGAUGGAAUGUGCAUUCCAUCUCCCAAAAUGAAUGAAUGAUCUUAGUUUGGUAAAAGUCCUCCUUUGUCCAAUUUGAGUUUGAU